ACACACACACACACACACACAAGCCAUCAAUGUAUUACCAUAACAACUUCUUGUCCUUGCCGAGCAGUCAAAUUGGAAAGCAUAGUGUGACUAGAACUUGUCACUAGUGUAGUUAUAUUGACCACAAGAAUUAUCAACCAUAAUUAUUAUAUACAUCUCCAAAUAUGUAGUGUGUGUUCCAUUCAUUGUGGAAUGCAUCUUAAGAAAAUGUCCAAUUAAUUAUUCACAUAAAAAACAUUUCAAAUUAACAGAAAAUAAAAUAAUGAAGAGCCUCAAGCAAAUUACAGGAGCUGAUGCACGAAUGGGAAGGCAGCAAGGCAUCAUAUGAUAUGCAAAAGAGAGCACAGAGUUUCUCAUUAGAAAAGGCAGAGUAAAUGAAGUUUAAUGAUAUAAAAGAGUAUCCUUAAAAAAGGAUAUAACAAGGGCAGAUGCAUGGUGAAGUUGAUUUCACACUCAACUCAACAGAAAACAGUUCCAAGUUCUAAGGCAAAAAAAAAAAAAAAAAA
rnacentral:misc_RNA from 1 species